UUUUUAUGUUAAUCCCUAGUACAUGGCCUGCUGUAAACACUCAGGACACCCAGGAUAUGGUUUGAUUUUCCUCAUCCCCAGUCUCAAGGGGAAACCAGGACAAUGAGAACAGCCACUUGCCAUCAGGAGUCACUGAAGGGGCCCCAGGAUGGGAUGGUGGGGAGAUAAGAACCAUGAGAGAAGUUGGCACAAAGGAGUUAUGGGACAAAGGGUCCAAGAUAGGCAGAAAAGAAAAUGUUGCCAGUUGAUGGGGAAGAAAGGAAGUCAGAGGGCUCAGACACUGUGGGGGACAGAACAUCUCCAUGUGCACUCUCAUCUCUUGUAGUCAGCAACAGGUUUCCACAGGGAAGGCCCUACAUCAUCUGCUACCCUGAAAGAUCUGGAGAGCCCGUGCCAAGAACAAGCAGUAGUCCUGGAUUCAAGGUCCGUAGAAAUCGGUCAACUGAAGAACACCAUCAAAUCUUUGAAACAACAGAAGAAACAAGUGGAACAUCAGCUGGAAGAAGUAACGUGAUUUCGUUU
rnacentral:lncRNA from 1 species